GACGAACGCUGGCGGCGUGCUUAACACAUGCAAGUCGAACGGAAAGGCCCUGCGUUUGUGGGGUGCUCGAUUGGCGAACGGGUGAGUAACACGUGAGUAAACUGCCCUUGACUUUGGGAUAACUUCAGGAAACUGGGGCUAUUACCGGAUAGGAGCUCCUGCUGCAUGGUGGGGGUUGGAAAGUUUCGGCGGUUGGGGAUGGACUCGCGGCUUAUCAGCUUCUUGGUGGGGUAGUGGCGUACCAGGGCUUUGACGGGUAGCCGGCCUGAGAGGGUUACCGGGCACAUUGGUACUGAGAGACGGCGCAGAAGGCUACCGGAGGCAGUAGUGGGGAAUAUUGCAGAACGGGCGGAAGUCUGAUGCAGCAACGCCGCGUGCGGGAUAACCUGCUUCGGGGUGUAAACCGCUGUCGCCUGUGACGAAGAGUGAGUGACGGUAAUUGGUAAAAAAGCAACGGCUAACUACGUG
rnacentral:rRNA from 1 species